rnacentral:rRNA from 1 species
CACGUAGUUAGCCGUGGCUUAUUCAAAGGGUACCGUCUUCCGCUCUUCCCCCUUAAAAGAAGUUUACAACCCGAAAGCCUUCUUCCUUCACGCGGCGUUGCUGGGUCAGACUUGCGUCCAUUGCCCAAUAUUCCCCACUGCUGCCUCCCGUAGGAGUCUGGGCCGUAUCUCAGUCCCAAUGUGGCCGGCCAACCUCUCAGUCCGGCUACUGAUCGUCGCCUUGGUGGCCGUUACCUCACCAACUAGCUAAUCAGACGCGAGGCCAUCUUCCAGCGAUAAAUCUUUGACGUCGGAGUCAUGCGGCUCCAACGCAUCAUGCGGUAUUAGCAGUCGUUUCCAACUGUUGUCCCCCCCUGGAAGGCAGGUUCCUCACGCGUUACUCACCAGUCCGCCACUAAGCAUUCCCAUCCGUUGUCCGAAAACUCCUUCAGGGUGCUCCGUUCGACUUGCAUGUGUUAAGCACGCCGCCAGCGUUCGUCCUGAGCCAGGAUCGAACUACU